UUCAAACAUCAAAUAAUGAAC
rnacentral:piRNA from 1 species